rnacentral:rRNA from 1 species
UACGAAGGGUGCUAGCGUUGUUCGGAAUUACUGGGCGUAAAGCGCGCGCAGGCGGUUUUCUAAGUCAGAGGUGAAAUGCCAGAGCUUAACUCUGGAACUGCCUUUGAAACUGGAGAACUGGAGUCUUGGAGGGGGUAGCGGAAUUCCUAAUGUAGCGGUGAAAUGCGUAGAUAUUAGGAGGAACACCGAUGGCGAAGGCAGCUACCUGGACAAGCACUGACGCUGAGGCGCGAAAGCGUGGGGAUCAAACAGG